rnacentral:rRNA from 1 species
GAUGAACGCUGGCGGCGUGCCUAAUACAUGCAAGUCGAGCGAACAGACGAGGAGCUUGCUCCUCUGACGUUAGCGGCGGACGGGUGAGUAACACGUGGAUAACCUACCUAUAAGACUGGGAUAACUUCGGGAAACCGGAGCUAAUACCGGAUAAUAUAUUGAACCGCAUGGUUCAAUAGUGAAAGACGGUUUUGCUGUCACUUAUAGAUGGAUCCGCGCCGCAUUAGCUAGUUGGUAAGGUAACGGCUUACCAAGGCAACGAUGCGUAGCCGACCUGAGAGGGUGAUCGGCCACACUGGAACUGAGACACGGUCCAGACUCCUAGGGAGGCAGCAGUAGGGAAUCUUCCGCAAUGGGCGAAAGCCUGACGGAGCAACGCCGCGUGAGUGAUGAAGGUCUUCGGAUCGUAAAACUCUGUUAUUAGGGAAGAACAAAUGUGUAAGUAACUAUGCACGUCUUGACGGUACCUAAUCAGAAAGCCACGGCUAACUACGUG